rnacentral:rRNA from 1 species
UGCAAGUCGAACGAGCGAAAGAGUGCUGCACUCUCUAGCUAGUGGCGGACGGGUGAGUAACACGUGAGCAAUCUGCUUUCGGUGGGGGAUACCAUUUGGAAACGAAUGUUAAUACCCCAUAACAUAGAGAAGCCGCAUGACUUUUCUACCAAAGGUUUACUGCCGGAAGAUGAGCUCGCGUCUGAUUAGGUAGUUGGUGAGGUAACGGCUCACCAAGCCGACGAUCAGUAGCCGGACUGAGAGGUUGAACGGCCACAUUGGGACUGAGACACGGCCCAGACUCCUACGGGAGGCAGCAGUGGGGAAUAUUGCACAAUGGGCGAAAGCCUGAAUGCAGCGAUGCCGCGUGAGGGAAGAAGGUUUUAGGAUUGUAAACCUCUGUCUUUGGGGACGAUAAUGACGGUACCCAAGGAGGAAGCUCCGGCUAACUACGUGCCAGCCGCAGC